GGGGGGGGGGGGGGGGGGGCAAAUUGCCCCUGGCUCCUAGGUGCUGCGGACCCCUGACAAAUUUUUGUUGGGCCGCAGUCUUUUUUGCGUGUUAAACAUUUCCGCGCAAAGGACAAGACAUCUGUUUUCUUGGGCUAAGUACCGAAAUAUGUCAUAAAAAUGAGAUAAAGUCCGUGGAAAGCAAUUGCAACGUACUUGUCCGGAAAAAUUUUUACCCCUAAAAUGGUACACUGACC
rnacentral:lncRNA from 1 species